rnacentral:lncRNA from 1 species
AGGAGAGAAAAAAAUGUUUUACUUAGGUACAUCCACAGCAAGAUAGUCAGAGCAUGAAGUAUAUACAAGGUUUUAAGUAAUUUGGCUCAAGGCCACAGCCUGUUUUCAGUGUUUUGGGCAAAAACCUAGAUACUUUUAUCAAGGCCUGGGAAGGUUCAAGGGCCCACCUUGGGCCCACAUUUGGUCAGACAAACUUGCUGGCAAAGGAGUCAAAGAGUGGUCAAGGCAUCCUGUGAUUUUGCUCGAGACACAGGAAGAAAGCAGAGGGAACUGGAGGAACCUACAGUUAGCAUCUGAAGAGGGAGCAGAUCUGAGAGAAAGGAAAGACCAUUGAGCAAAGAUAUCUAAGCAUCUAUGUGUGGAGAAGUGUUGAUGGAAAGGGGGAAAUUAUAUUACCAGUUUGAAAUGUUAAUAUCAUGAGGUUGCCUUAUAGUGAGAAUGGAAAUGCUCUAUUACAUGUAAUUUGAGAUUAAGAAUCCUCAAUUUUGCAGGCUUCAAGCCCCACUACUACAUUCAGGCUGUAAGCAUUGCUCAACUCCACACCCUAAGGGGGCUCCACUGCUCAAGAACUUUUGAGGUUUGGCAGCAGCUAAUCUUUGGAUUACACAGAGGAUAGAACUUGGAUCCUUGCACUUGCGCAGCAGGUGGCGAAACCACUGAGCUAAAUCCCUGGCCCAGAAUGAUAUUUCUUCAUGAAGACAGAAUGUCUCAUAGGAAUCCAUGGCCAUCUGGCAUCUAUGACUUGAACUUACUAAAAGCCUAUGGCUGUCUCCAGUCAUUAUGACAAUGAAAAGCCUCCUCCACACAUUUCCAAAUGUCCCCGAGGGAGCAAAAACAGCCCCAGCAAGUGAUCUAAACCUCUGAGGAAGAGAAGGAGGAGGAGGAGAAGGAGGAGGAGGAGUUUAAUAGAAAGGACAAAGAAAAAACAAGCAAUGGGCAAUGAUCAAAGAGAGGAAAACAACAACAAAAUACCCUGAGGAAGCUCAGAGAUGUCAACAGUGGGUCCUUAUGAGUCAGGAAGUAAUAAUAGAAGAAGAUUCCUGAACCCAAGGUUCUGAGUGGAAUUGAAUGUGGAUAAAAUAAGGUAAAAUGAAAAAAACUGUUAUGGUUAAAGACCUAGAAGCAUACAUGAUGAG